GGGCAAUGGGUCGAUCGCGAUCGAGGCAUGCCAAAAACAAUAAAAAGACGUCAGCCAGUGUUCGCUCUAAACUGCGCAGAUAUUCUGCGUUGCGUGCCAAAAAAUAAAAAUAAUCCAAUGCAAAUUGAAAGUAUGACAUCCAGCUAUUCAGUUUGUGGCAUUUUGCAAUGUGAUUCAAUGACUGACGGAUGACAGGGAAAAAAUGAAAAGAAGAAGCCACUGGUUUCUUUUAGGCAACACGCGGAACUUUCUCUAACAACGUCCACUCCCUUUUUCCUAGUUUACCUUACACCCCCCGCCCCCCCUUUCUUAAAGACAUACACUCGUGAUAACGAAUGUUGUAGUACUUACGCAGCUCAUCAAUGUGUUUUAUAAUGACAGCGUCCACCACCGCCGCUUUAGUGAGCAACACAGUCUGGGCAACGAAGAGCAAAGAUGAGCUAGACAUGCUGCUGAUGUUUACUUUCGAUCUUAAAAAAGAAAUGCUUGUUGUUUUAAGAUGCACUGGCAGUCUGAAUAUGUGAAUAAUCGAAGAAAAAGUGGUUAGACUAGAUGAGAUUUUCUCUUUACUGAGUGGGAAAAGUCUGGUCUGAAGCCAAAGUAGAAAGUGCAGGAUGAGAUGGUGUGUCAUUUUUUUAAAAAUUCCACCUUGCCACGUUAGCAUGAUCCGGGAUGAAAACACACGCAAUGCAGUGCACAAAAAGCUAGUUCUGUAUUUUAAAUAUAGGAGGAAACAUAACAUUAAUCUUAAAACAGGUCGUGAGCGUCAUCAUUCCUGGCUGAGGCUGGCUGCUUGAAAAGUAGAUCUUGGGGUAAAAAAAAAAAAAAAAAGUGUUGGUACCCCUGUACUAGAUUUUGUAAUUAGUGACAGCGCUCCAGUUGUUUCUCUUUAAUGAACAUUUGACAUCUUGGGGUCGUCUUUUAUGAUUUUUUUUCUUUUUUUUUUUUUUAAACGCAAGUCCAUGUCCCGAAACCAGUUUUGAUUCCUCCUUUGCGAGUUUGUCGCAUUAAAUUCUGCCGUGUGGUGUACGUGUUCUAGUCAACUAGGAAAAAAAAAAAACACCGUUUUUUGGUUUGUUUGGUUUUUUUGGGGGGGAAGCUUCUUCCCUCAUUAUUUAUCCUUGGUUUUUUUUGUUUUUGUUUUGUUCUUUUUUUUUUUUUUUUUUUAAUUCAUUCUUGCUCUUUUGUGGCCUUAAUUAUAAUUUUUUUUUCAUUACCGAGACAAGAGACAUUUUGGCGGCGGAACAGGCGGAUGCACCUGAUUUUCAAACUUAAAUUUCAUCCACGCUUAGAGAAUUUUUUUUUUUUUUUUAAAAAGAGAGGAAAAAAGUUCCAUUUUCAAUCUCUUGAAAGUUUUUAUCAGUUUUAGUGGCUGCACAACGGGACCAGAUGAAGCCCCCCCCCCCCCCCCCCGCUUUCUAUGAACUUUUGAACAAAAGGAUUACUUAUGUCACACACAUGCACACGCACUCACGUGUCACGGCGACGAAGGGGAGAUCAGUUGUCGCCGUUUGUUUGGUUGUUAUUAUUUUUAGCCUGCCGCCGCCAUGAUCCCCCCUUUAUCGGGACUCGCGAUUGCAGCAGACGGAGCGAUUGUGCGACCUGACGGGCCUUUUCGUCGGGACGGGGGACGCGAGACUUGAUCCAUGGGGAACUACAAGUCCAGACCGUCGCAGACGUGUACAGACGAGUGGAAGAAGAAGGUGAGCGAGUCGUACUCGCUGAUCCUGGAGAAGCUGGAAGACGACCUCCAGCUCAAAGACAGCGAGCUGGUGGACCUCCAACUUGCUUUCAGCUGCGACGAGGCGUUUCAGAAGGUGAACUUGAACUACCGGACAGAGAAAGGCUUGUCCCUGCUGCAUCUCUGCUGCGUGUGCCAAGGUAACAAGGGACAUAUCAGCUCUUUAAUGGCCAAAGGUCUCCGCCCGUCUCGACUGACCAAGAACGGGUUCACGGCGCUCCACUUGGCAGCGUACAAGGACAACGGCGAGCUGGUGACCGCGCUCCUUCACGGGGGAUCGGACGUCCAGCAGCUGGGCUACGGCGCCCUCACCGCCCUGCACGUCGCCACCUUGGCCGGACACAUGGAGGCGACCGAUAUCCUCCUCCAGCACGGGGCGUCCGUCAACGUCCAGGAUGCCGUGUUUUUCACGCCGCUGCAUAUCGCCGCCUACAACGGCAAUGAGCAGCUCUCCAAACUGCUGCUGAAGUUUGGCGCGGACGUGAACGCCAGUGGCGAGGUCGGGGACCGCCCGCUGCAUCUGGCCGCGGCCAAGGGUUUCCUGGACAUCAUCGCGCUUCUGGUCGGGGAAGGGGGGAAAGCUAACGUGAACGCUCAGGACAACGAGGACCACGUCCCCCUCCACUUCUGCGCCCGCUUCGGCCACCACGAGGUGGUGCGCUUCCUCCUCCAGGGCAACUUUGACGCGCAGGCCCACGCCACCAACAUCUACGGCGAUACGCCGUUGCACUUGGCCUGCUACAACGGCAAGUCUGACGUCGUCAAGGAGAUCAUCCAACUCUCUGGCACGGAGAGUCUCACCAAGGAGAACAUAUUCAGCGAGACGUCACUGCACAGCGCAUGCACCUACGGUAAAGACCUGGAGACGGUCAAGUUUUUGCUGAGCCAGAACGCCAUGAGCAUCAACCACCAGGGCAGAGAUGGACACACGGCUCUUCACAGCGCUUGUUUCCACGGUCACAUCCGCCUGGUGCAGUUCCUGCUGGACAACGGGGCCGACAUGAACCUGGUGGCGUGCGAUCCGAGCCGGUCCAGCGGGGAAAAAGAUGAGCAGACCUGCCUCAUGUGGGCUUACGAGAAAGGUCACGACGCGAUCGUCACUUUGCUGAAACACUACAAGCGCCCGGACGACUCUCCCUGCAAUGAGUACUCGCAGCCAGGAGGGGAUGGCUCGUACGUGUCUGUGCCGUCGCCUCUGGGGAAGAUCAAGAGCAUGACGAAAGAGAAAGCAGAAGUUCUUCUCCUCAGGGCCAGCCUACCCUCUCAUUUCCAUCUUCAACUCUCCGAACUGGAAUUCAACGAAAUCAUCGGCUCCGGCUCCUUCGGCAGGGUUUACAAAGGCAAAUGUCGCAACAAAAUAGUCGCGAUUAAACGCUACCGGGCCAACACGUACUGCUCCAAGUCGGACGUGGACAUGUUCUGCCGCGAAGUGUCCAUCCUGUGCCGCCUCAACCACCCCUGCAUCAUCCAGUUCGUGGGCGCCUGUCUGGAUGACCCCAGCCAGUUCGCCAUCGUCACCCAGUACAUCUCGGGGGGGUCUCUCUUCGCGCUCUUGCACGAGCAGAAGAGGCUUAUUGACCUGCAGUCCAAGCUCAUCAUCGCCAUGGACGUGGCCAAAGGGAUGGAGUACCUGCACAACCUCACCCAGCCCAUCAUCCACAGAGACCUCAACAGUCACAAUAUCCUUCUGUACGAGGACGGGCAUGCGGUGGUGGCCGAUUUCGGGGAGUCCAGAUUCCUCCAGUCUGUGGACGAGGACAACAUGACCAAACAGCCGGGGAACCUGCGAUGGAUGGCCCCCGAGGUCUUCACCCAGUGUACUCGCUACUCGGUCAAGGCAGACAUGUUCAGCUACGCACUCUGUCUGUGGGAGCUGCUGACCGGAGAGAUUCCCUUUGCACACUUGAAGCCCGCCGCGGCGGCGGCAGACAUGGCCUACCACCACAUCCGGCCUCCCGUCGGGUACUCGAUCCCGAAACCCAUCUCUGCGCUUCUGAUGAGGGGAUGGAACGCGUGUCCGGAGGACCGUCCAGAGUUUUCUGAAGUGGUCACCAACCUGGAGGAGUGCUUAUGCAAUGUUGAGCUGAUGUCGCCGGCCUCCAGCAACAGCAGCGGUUCCCUGUCGCCCUCCUCGUCCUCGGACUGCCUCCUGGCCCGAGCCGGACCCAGCAGGGGUCACGUGGCUGCGCUGCGGUCCAGGUUCGAGCUGGAGUACGCGCUCAACACUCGAGCCUACGCCUUCUGGAGCCAGAGCGAGCGGAGACGUGCGUCUGGAGGUCUCUCGUUGGAGGAAAUACGAAGGAGCGUGCAGUUUUCGCCCAUCGAUCGCAACGGUUACGUGUCCGAUCCCAUGAGCACCAUGCGAUUCUGCUCUUCCUUCAGCAGCAAUGGCAGCUUCGAGGACAGUAACUAACAAUAUCAUACGUGACUACAUUUGCCAGCUGUUUUGGACUCACACACUCUGAGGAUGCGCAGUGAGCCCCCGCGCCCCCACCCACGGGUGGCCGUGGCGACGUCAGUCCGGCGUCUUCUUCAAACCGCUUUGUGCGCCCCACCUUCAAAACCCGCAGCAGUGUUUCGGGCCGACGCACCAGCCCGCGAUGAAAAUGAAAAUCAGCAUCUCUGCAUUCAUUGGCAUCGGCUGGAACAGGACACAUCUUCCAUGGAGGCACGCUAGCAGUGCUAAUCUCAAAAGCCCUCCUGAGAUGAUGCGAUGCGGACGCUGGUGGAGUGUCGUGCCAAUGCGGGCGAGGCAUAAGGGAGACCUCCAGCAA